UACGGAGGGGGCUAGCGUUGUUCGGAAUUACUGGGCGUAAAGCGCGCGUAGGCGGACCUGCAGGUCGGGGGUGAAAGCCCGAGGCUCAACCUCGGAACUGCCUUCGAUACUGCGGGUCUCGAGUCCGGGAGAGGUGAGUGGAAUUCCUAGUGUAGAGGUGAAAUUCGUAGAUAUUAGGAAGAACACCAGUGGCGAAGGCGGCUCACUGGCCCGGUACUGACGCUGAGGCGCGAAAGCGUGGGGAGCAAACAGG
rnacentral:rRNA from 1 species